CUGAAAACUUCCUGUGAGGAGUCUCUGAGCUCCUCCUGUCUGUUAUUGUUUACGGUGAGACUGAUGCAAAGUAGGUCAUGGAAAACGGGAAGCUCAGCUAGCAUUCAGUUGCUGUGCAUUAACGGUCGAGGAACGAAGUCUUCGAGGUGUUGUCAGUUAUUUUCCGUGACUGCUGGUUGUACACAAUAGGCAGCUGCUGGACUGAUGCUGUUCUUCCAGUAUCUGGAUUGAACUGAUCUGACUGGUGAGACUUGACUUGCUGCCAUGUCCAGACGAAACAGGAACAGUCGUGCAUGGCGAUAUGUAUGGGGCGGGAUACGGAGGGAUGCUGACGCCCGGGCGCUUGUGUUGGCCUCUGAAGGUGAAGAGUGGACGUAUGACCGUUUAGAAUACAGCGAUUCAGAUUCUGAGGCAGACUUUUCAGCUGUGAUGGUCCCUCCAGUCCCCAGUGCAGUGCCUGUCACCGGAGAGUCCUACUGUGGCUGCGAUUCCCAGGCUGAGACCAACUACAACCCGCGUCUGCGAGGUUUUCACCAAGUGAAAGACUGCCACUGUGGAGAAGAUGACCAAGACUUUGAUUGGGUUUGGGAUACCAACAGCCGAUCGACAGCAACAUUACUGAGUUGUGACAAUCGCAAAGUGAACUUCCAUUCUGAAUAUAGCUGUGGUACAGCAGCAAUCCGUGGCUCCAAGGAGCUGGCUGAAGGGCAGCACUUCUGGGAAAUCAAGAUGACCUCCCCGGUGUAUGGAACAGACAUGAUGGUUGGCAUUGGUACUUCUGAUGUUAAUCUAGACAAAUACAGACACACGUUCUGCAGCCUGUUGGGAAAAGAUACAGACAGCUGGGGUCUUUCUUACACUGGCUUGCUGCAUCAUAAAGGAGAUAAGAUGAAUUUCUCCUCCCGGUUUGGACAGGGGUCCAUCAUCGGAGUCCAUUUGGACACGUGGCACGGCACACUCACUUUCUUCAAGAAUCGCAAGUGUAUAGGUGUUGCUGCCACAGAGCUACGAAAUAAGAGGUUUUAUCCGAUGGCAUGCUCCACGGCAGCAAAGAGCAGCAUGAAGGUGAUCAGAUCCUGCUCUGUGCCCACCUCUCUGCUUUACCUUUGCUGUGCUCGCCUUCGCCAGCUGCUGCCAGACUGCAUAGACACCCUGGAUGUGUUGCCGCUGCCGCCAGGCCUACGUCACUUGCUCCACAACAAACUGGGCUGGGUGCUCAGUCUCAAUAGUGGCACCACAGAAGAAACCCCAGAUGGACCUGAGCGCCCCUCACGCUUGCCUGCCCCCCCGAUGGCUGGACCGUCCUCCUCUGAGAGUGACUCAGAGGGUUGUACAUCUGACCCUGAGGCCUGUCAGAGGAAGAGAUGCCGCUGGACUUGACUGAACAACUUGAAUCCUACCUCCUCUUAAACACUGGUAGACGUUACUGUCCCGUGGCAUACAGUCUAAUUUUUCCUACCUGCCUCAAGCUUCUCUCCAACAGUGAUGUCCAGUAGUGAAGAACAUAACCAGGAAUGGAGCGGUUGCCAAAGUGAGAAUCAGUGGGAAACUGUGCCCCAUGAGUGGAACAGUAAGGAAGUGAUACGGUCCAUAGACCCUAUUUUUUAUUUCUUGGCCGCAGGUUACAGCUCGAAAGCAAAACCAUCAACUGCCACAAAUAUGUAAGCUUAAGAAAUGUUAAGUGGAGGUGAAAUAAACCUGAAUGUACUUAGAAGGUUUUAGUCCUGCAAAAAUGAAAAUAUUCCUGUCAUGCAACCACCAUCACCUCUAGGAGAACUCAUACAACUGUGAUUUCUCAAUUUUUGUUUCUUGAGAAACAAAACUUAAAAGUCAAAUAUUUGUUAGGUUUAGGGCAACAUCCAUCUAUCACCAGCUGUCUUGAGGAAACCUUAUGAACUAAAGUACGGAUUUCCUCAUUCCUAAUAAAUGAAAGUAAGGCAGUAUAUGCUGUAAUUUAGUGUAGCUUUUUUAAAUCUGACCAGGAGAUAGGAAUCAGGUCACUGACAAGAGACUGCCACACAUUUUGACUUUUCAUUGUUGUUACACUAAUUAUUUUUUAGAACUUUUUUAAACUUAAGAACUGCAAAGAUGUUCUUCUAGUUUUCCCAAGGCUUUCACAUCACUUCCUUUACCAACUCCUCUUGACUUUUAGUAUCCAGCACUCAGCCCCUGGUGGUGUAGAAGAUGGCUGUAAAUAUGUACUAGUUUCCCCAUCAUGUGUUAUAAACAUGAAAGGAGUUUCAUGAUUGUAGAAACUUCUCCUGCACAUGACUCAGCUCUCUGUGUGCUUAGAGUGUUUAUAACAAUAGAUUUUUUGUAAUUAG